GCGCAAGCCUGUCAAUGUGUGUGUGUGCAUUUCGGUACCUUCCCCCUCCGAUCGCACGUGGCAUGUCCAACCACAAUGGCUGAGAUUAUCAAUCUUUAUGAUUUCAGCUAAGUCCAUCCUUUCCCUUAGGAAAGCAUUGGGUGGAUUUUGUGCAUGCACAGCAAAUGUGCCAAUCCGCAUCUCCUCAUAGAGUUGCAUUACAUUAAUCAGCCUCUAUGAGGAGCAUUCAGCGCCUUCAUGCAGAGCGUGGAGACACUGAACGUCUGUGCUGCACGUCUCGCUAGUGGCCGUCUGACCAUCACUAGAGGUGUUACUAAGCAG